rnacentral:rRNA from 1 species
UACGAAGGGGGCUAGCGUUGCUCGGAAUUACUGGGCGUAAAGGGCGCGUAGGCGGAUAUCUAAGUUGGGGGUGAAAUCCCGGGGCUCAACCUCGGAAUUGCCUUCAAAACUGGAUAUCUUGAGUUCGGGAGAGGUGAGUGGAACUCCGACGUGUAGAGGUGAAAUUCGUAGAUAUUCGGAAGAACACCAGUGGCGAAGGCGGCUCACUGGCCCGGUACUGACGCUGAGAUACGAAAGCGUGGGGAGCAAACAGG